GACGAACGCUGGCGGCGUGCCUAACACAUGCAAGUCGAACGGAACUGUUUUGAGAGAUUUCUUCGGAAUGAAUUUGAUUUAGUUUAGUGGCGGACGGGUGAGUAACGCGUGAGUAACCUGCCUUCAAGAGGGGAAUAACAUUCUGAAAAGAAUGCUAAUACCGCAUGACAUAUCGGAACCACAUGGUUUUGAUAUCAAAGAUUUUAUCGCUUGAAGAUGGACUCGCGUCCGAUUAGUUAGUUGGUGAGGUAACGGCUCACCAAGACCGCGAUCGGUAGCCGGACUGAGAGGUUGAACGGCCACAUUGGGACUGAGACACGGCCCAGACUCCUACGGGAGGCAGCAGUGGGGGAUAUUGCGCAAUGGGGGCAACCCUGACGCAGCAACGCCGCGUGAAGGAUGAAGGUUUUCGGAUUGUAAACUUCUUUUAUUAAGGACGAAAAAUGACGGUACUUAAUGAAUAAGCUCCGGCUAACUACGUG
rnacentral:rRNA from 1 species